GACGAACGCUGGCGGCGUGCUUAACACAUGCAAGUCGAACGGAGCGGCGGACGGGUGAGUAAUACCUAGGAAUCUGCCUGGUAGUGGGGGAUCACGUUCGGAAACGGACGCUAAUACCGCAUACUAUCAGAUGAGCCUAGGUCGGAUUAGCUAGUUGGUGAGAUAAUGGCUCACAAAGGCUACGAUCCGCAACUGGGCUGAGAGUAUGAUCAGUCACACUGGAACUGAGACACUGUCCAGACUCCUACGUGAGGCAGCAGUGGGGAAUAUUGCACAAUGGGCGAAAGCCUGAUCCAGCCAUCCCGCGUGUGUGAAGAAGGUCUUCGGAUUGUAAAGCACUUUAAGUUGGGAGGCGUUACCGACAGAAUAAGCACCGGCUAACUCGGUGCCAGCAGCCGCGGUAAUUC
rnacentral:rRNA from 1 species